CAUUACCGAGUUUACAACUCCCAAACCCCUGUGAACAUACCUUAAUGUUGCCUCGGCGGAUCAGCCCGCGCCCCGUAAAACGGGACGGCCCGCCAGAGGACCCAAACUCUAAUGUUUCUUAUUGUAACUUCUGAGUAAAACAAACAAAUAAAUCAAAACUUUCAACAACGGAUCUCUUGGUUCUGGCAUCGAUGAAGAACGCAGCAAAAUGCGAUAAGUAAUGUGAAUUGCAAAAUUCAGUGAAUCAUCGAAUCUUUGAACGCACAUUGCGCCCGCUGGUAUUCCGGCGGGCAUGCCUGUUCGAGCGUCAUUUCAACCCUCAAGCCCCCGGGUUUGGUGUUGGGGAUCGGCUCUGCCUUCUGGCGGUGCCGCCCCCGAAAUACAUUGGCGGUCUCGCUGCAGCCUCCAUUGCGUAGUAGCUAACACCUCGCAACUGGAACGCGGCGCGGCCAUGCCGUAAAACCCCAACUUCUGAAUGUUGACCUCGGAUCAGGUAGGAAUACCCGCUGAACUUAAGCAUAUCAAUAAGCGGAGGAAAAGAAACCAACAGGGAUUGCCCUAGUAACGGCGAGUGAAGCGGCAACAGCUCAAAUUUGAAAUCUGGCUUUCGGGCCCGAGUUGUAAUUUGUAGAGGAUACUUUUUGAUGCGG
rnacentral:rRNA from 1 species